rnacentral:tRNA from 1 species
UGGGGUUGCUAACUCAACGGUAGAGUACUCGGCUUUUAAG